GGUCAGUACCUUGUGCGUUCAUAAUCUGACCCUGACAGACGUGAGUUCUGCUGAAGAGGGGACCUACGUGUGUGUGGUGACUGCCUGUGGAAACACACUGCUGGGAGCUGGGACCAGGAUCCAUCUGAACAAAUUUGACCUGAGUCUGACAACUAUGGCACUGAUCGGGUUGAACAUUGCUCUUGGACUGUUCGUGCUUGUGCUGCUGCGAAUGGUGCACAACAACCACCGAAAACAAGAGCCAGGUAUGAAAUCAAUUUAUUUAUUUAUUUUUUUAAUUUUCAGUUCAGAAUUACUCUGUGAAAAUAAAUUCUUUAUAUUGUCAGAGAUGCACACGAACGACGAUGGAUCUCAUCAGGACAGUCAGGCUGAAGAUGGAAUCAUUUAUGCAGGACUGAAUGUGACAUCCAGAGACACAAUUUCCAGACCUCCUGUGGAAGAAGCUGCUGGUACAGAUAUAUACUCUCAAGUGAAAACAUCAUAAAAUGAUGAAUGAUUUUCAGGAAGUUUUCAUGUUUUUCUAAUUAUUUCUUGGUUUGGUAAAAUUGUAUCUGUGGGCAGUAUUUAGCAUAGUUUUAUAUCUUGAAAACUGAAAAAAAUAUAUAUACCAUAAUUUCUGGACUAUUGAGUUCACCUGACUGUAAGCGACAGGUGACAAUAAACAAAUAAUCUGUAUGUAUAUUAGCCACAUCUUUGUAUAAAUCACAGGGCUCAAGUGUGAGAAAAAAGUAAAAAAAAAAAGAAGAAAUUAUGGUAUGUACAUGAGAACAGAAAGUAGCUGUGUUUUCUGAAAUGGAUGGAUCUGCCUCUGCCUGUGUCAUAUGCUGUGUGU